rnacentral:lncRNA from 1 species
AAGGAGGUUGGAGGUACACGUAAACGUCAUUUAAGCUCCAAUUUCAAAUCAUUUUUGGAGCUUAAAUACAUUUAUGAUGUAGGUAGCCAAUAUGAUUAUAGUAAAGGCUUUUUAGACAGCAUAUAUGCUAAUGUGUUAAAUCCAAAAUCUAAGCAUGUAACCCAGAUACCGGAACAAGCAGAGUAUGAAUCGCUGCCAUAUGCCAUGUCAAACUGUAAAAUUGUUAAGGAUCUUGCUAAGAAAGGAAAUAAAAAACUAGCUUAUAAAAGAUAUUCUACAGUAUUUAACCUUCUUAGAAAUGAUAAAGAUCAUAGAAAAGUUGAGAAAAUGCCAGGAGUUUACAGGAUCCUGACAAUAAAUAAUGAAAAUAGUAAAGAAGAAAGUUAUGUAGGCAUGAUUGGAAGACU